UCUGGUGUGGGACGUCACUCCAACCCCUGUGACAUACCACUUGUUGCCUCGGCGGAUCAGCCCGCUCCCGGUAAAACGGGACGGCCCGCCAGAGGACCCCUAAACUCUGUUUCUAUAUGUAACUUCUGAGUAAAACCAUAAAUAAAUCAAAACUUUCAACAACGGAUCUCUUGGUUCUGGCAUCGAUGAAGAACGCAGCAAAAUGCGAUAAGUAAUGUGAAUUGCAGAAUUCAGUGAAUCAUCGAAUCUUUGAACGCACAUUGCGCCCGCCAGUAUUCUGGCGGGCAUGCCUGUUCGAGCGUCAUUUCAACCCUCAAGCACAGCUUGGUGUUGGGACUCGCGUUAAUUCGCGUUCCUCAAAUUGAUUGGCGGUCACGUCGAGCUUCCAUAGCGUAGUAGUAAAACCCUCGUUACUGGUAAUCGUCGCGGCCACGCCGUUAAACCCCAACUUCUGAAUGUUGACCUCGGAUCAGGUAGGAAUACCCGCUGAACUUAAGCAUAUCAAUAAGCCGGAGGAA
rnacentral:rRNA from 1 species